rnacentral:rRNA from 1 species
GAAACUAACAAGGAUUCCCCUAGUAACGGCGAGUGAAGCGGGAAGAGCUCAAGCUUAAAAUCUCCGUGCAAGUUUUGCGCGGCGAAUUGUAGUCUAUAGAGGCGUGGUCAGCGUGGGCGCUUGGGGCAAGUUCCUUGGAAGAGGACAGCAUGGAGGGUGAUACUCCCGUUCAUCCCUGAGUGGCUCGUGCGUACGACCCGUGUUCUUUGAGUCGCGUUGUUUGGGAAUGCAGCGCAAAGUAGGUGGUAAAUUCCAUCUAAAGCUAAAUAUUGGUGCGAGACCGAUAGCGAACAAGUACCGUGAGGGAAAGAUGAAAAGAACUUUGAAAAGAGAGUUAAAGAGUACCUGAAACUGCUGAAAGGGAACCGAAUCGUUUCCAGUGUCUAUAAUCCGUGGCAUAUUUCAUUGGCGAGUGUGCGCGUGCGUGUGCUGUGGCAGCGGCCUUUUUGGUUGCGCUCGGUGCGUGUGCUGUGUGUGCUUGCUGGUGCCCUGUGCUGCGGUGGGACGUCAAGGUCAGUUCGUAUGCUGCGGGAAAUGGCUGCCGAGGAGGUAGGGCUUACGCUCCGCGUUUGUCUGUUAUAUCUUGGUGGACGAGUCGUCGCGGUUGGGACUGAGGUGCCUACAACGUGCUUUUGAGUAGGUCUGUGUCUCCGUGUGCGCCGUGUGCGGAUAGCUUGCUAUGCGUGUGUGGUUGUGUGUGGAUUGAUGCGGGCUUUAACUUGUCGCCGUUCGGGACGUUGACGAAAUGGAGCGAUCCGACCCGUCUUGAAACACGGACCAAGGAGUCUAACAUGUGUGCAAGUGUUAGGGUGUGGAAACCCCAGCGCGAAAUGAAAGUGAAGGGCAGCGCAAGUUGUCUGAGGUAGGAAACGUUGCGGGCUUCGGUCUGCGGCGUGGCACUAUCGACCGAUCAUGAACCUUCGUGGUGAAAGAUUUGAGUUUGAGCACAUAUGUUGGUACCCGAAAGAUGGUGAACUAUGCCUGAGUAGGGUGAAGCCAGGGGAAACUCUGGUGGAAGCUCGUAGCGAUUCUGACGUGCAAAUCGAUCGUCAAACUUGGGUAUAGGGGCGAAAGACUAAUCGAACCAUCUAGUAGCUGGUUCCCUCCGAAAUUUCCCUCAGGAUAGCAGCAACUUAUUUACGAUAGUUUUAUGAGGUAAAGCGAAUGAUUAGAGGAUUCGGGGAAGAAACUUCCUCGACCUAUUCUCAAACUUUAAAUCUGUAAGACCUGCAGGUUUCUUAAUUGAACUUGUGGAUGUGAAUAUCAAGUUGCUAGUGGGCCAUACGGGGUAAGCUCGUCUGGCGAUGCGGGAUGAACCGAACGCAAAGUUAAAGUGCCAAAAUGCCCGCUCACCUAGAUACCAUAAAAGGUGUUGGUUCAUUUAGACAGCAGGACGGUGGCCAUGGAAGUCGGAAUCCGCUAAGGAGUGUGUAACAACUCACCUGCCGAAUGAACUAGCCCUGAAAAUGGAUGGCGCUAAAGCGGGCUACUUAUACUUUGCCGUUAGCGCGAUAGCAUAAUUAAUGUACGCGUUAAUGAGUAGGAGGGCGUGAGGGUCGUGAAGAAGCUCGUGGCGUGAGCCUGAGUGAAACGGCCUUUAGUGCAGAUCU